CAGCCCUUGACACCCCGAUCGUGGUUAGUGGAGACACUUACCGUCAGUUUGGCUGGAUCGGAGACAGGUGCUGCAUGGCUGUCGUCAGCUCGUGUCGUGAGAUGUUGGGUUAAAUCCCGCAACGAGCGCAACCCUCGCUCUUAGUUGCCAUCAUUCAGUUGGGCACUCUAAGGGGACUGCCGGUGAUAAGCUGGAGGAAGGUGGGGAUGACGUCAAGUCCUCAUGGCCCUUACGGGCUGGGCUACACACGUGCUACAAUGGUGGUGACAGUGGGCAGCGAGACCGCGAGGUUGAGCUAAUCUCCAAAAACCAUCUCAGUUCGGAUUGCACUCUGCAACUCGGGUGCAUGAAGUUGGAAUCGCUAGUAAUCGUGGAUCAGCAUGCCACGGUGAAUA
rnacentral:rRNA from 2 species